UGUAAGUAGGCAAUCUAGUAUAUUAUUAGUGACACUAAUCUCUAAUUUACCUCACAAUAAAUGGACACUAUAGUCCCCAGAACCACUGCAGCUUAAUAAAGUUGUUCUGGUUUCUAUAGUUUGUCCCUGCAGGCUUUUUAAUGUAAACACACACACUGUGUGCAGCACUGGCACUAGUUCAUAUGGCAGAUCAUAUGGGUGGGGCAUUGCGAGGCCCCGGCGGGGGGGGGGCGGCAAAUCUUUCUUUUGCCUAGGGCGGCAAAAAUCCUUGCACCGGCCCUGGCUGGAAG